rnacentral:lncRNA from 1 species
ACACGAGGCUUGACCUUCUCGUUGAAUGCUUUUUCACUCUCUGCUGAUAUGACUGACCAUGACACAUGGCAGUUGAUCUCUUCUUUUCGAUCGAAUUCAGCAUCAGCCAACUUGGGACUUUGAGGGUGUUAUCUUUCUUUUGUUUUUGUUUUGUUUGUUUUUUUUCUUUCUUUUGAUUUCUUUUGGUUUUUUUUUUUGAUUUGGAUUUCUUUUGAUUUGGUUUUGCACCCUCCUCUUUCUUUUUUCUUUUUUUUUUCUUUUUUUUUGAUAAUGCCCCAGUUGGCUGUUCUGCUGAUUCUCGAGAUGCAGCUGAGUGAUCUUCUUUUCUUGCUCAAGAAGUCGGGAAAUCUCGUCAGGAAUCCCUUCAACAUCAUCUUCGUCCGCUUCGAAUACAGGGAAUUCAAAAUUGGGAGAUGACGUCCGAUCACUAUGUUCAAUGGGUUUAAGAAACAACCUGCAUAAUGA